AAGUGAAGAUAAAUUAACGUUUACAAUAAAUUAAGUGAUAUUUUGAAGAUAGUAAAUUUAUUUUAUAAUGAUACAUAAAUUACGCCGUCUAUCUUCAAUCAAACACACAGUGAUAUGUUUGAUUUGAAGUUGCCAACAACAAACUCCAUUUUCUCGUCAAAUCAUUCUAAAUUUACGUUGGGUUUCGUAUUGGGUUUUGUUCCAUAGUCAUAUUCUAGACCUUUAUGAUAAUGUAAGGUCACAGCAAUAUACGUUUUUCAUAUACACACGUACACUUUUGAAGUCAGUACUCGGUAAUAAGAAGAAAAAAAUUGUUCAUGCACGUAGUAAUAGUUGUGACAAUCCAUUAGAAAACCACAAAUAAACUUUAUUAGCACUUAAUUUUUGUAUCAAUUUGAAAGCGGGUCUCAGGGCAAUGAAAGGUUGUCGAGUCCGCAUCAGCAUGACAGCAUGUCAGCCUGCCUUCUUUUAAGCCUGUGGAUAAGCAUCCUAUCCUACUUACUACUUAGUUUGGGUGUUAAAAACUUUAUUAGCACUUUACUUAAAUUAGAGAGCAUAAUGGACAAAGAGUAAGGACAAACCCAAUCAUAGUUUAUGUUUGUGUUUCGUAUGUGCGUCCUGUGCAUAAUUGAGCGGCAUGGUUACAUUUCUUAAACAUCAACUUUAUUGUUUGAUAAUUGAUGAAAAACGUUUGUUAAUUUGGUGACCCUUGCUUCAACUGAGAAGUUACUAUUCUUGGCUCACGUUUAUCUUAGAACGGUGGCGUUUAUAUGUGUAUAUAUAUAUAUAUAUUUCAGAAAACGGAAAAAAAGAUUAAUCAAUCACUUACUUGUAACUAGAGUUAAAAAUUUUUAGGAAAAUAAUCAUUUUGUCU
rnacentral:lncRNA from 1 species